rnacentral:rRNA from 1 species
GCAGCCGCGGUAAUACGUAGGGAGCAAGCGUUAUCCGGAAUUAUUGGGCGUAAAGGGUGCGUAGGCGGUAUGUUAAGUCUGAGGUAAAAGUGCGGGGCUCAACCCCGUGAUGCCUUGGAUACUGGCAAACUAGAGUGUGGUAGAGGCAAGUGGAACUCCAUGUGUAGAGGUAAAAUUCGUAAAUAUAUGGAAGAACACCAGUGGCGAAGGCGGCUUGCUGGGCCAUUACUGACGCUGAGGCACGAAAGCGUGGGGAGCAAACAGGAUUAGAUACCCC